GACGAACGCUGGCGGCGUGCUUAACACAUGCAAGUCGAACGGAAAGGCCCUGCUUUUGUGGGGUGCUCGAGUGGCGAACGGGUGAGUAACACGUGAGUAACCUGCCCUUGACUUUGGGAUAACUUCAGGAAACUGGGGCUAAUACCGGAUAGGAGCUCCUGCUGCAUGGGGGGGGUUGGAAAGUUUCGGCGGUUGGGGAUGGAAUCGAGGCUUAUCGGCUUGUUGGUGGGGUAGUGGCUUACCAAGGCUUUGACGGGUAGCCGGCCUGAGAGGGUGACCGGCCACAUUGGGACUGAGAUACGGCCCAGACUCCUACGGGCGGCAGCAGUGGGGAAUAUUGCACAAUGGGCGGAAGCCUGAUGCAGCAACGCCGCGUGCGGGAUGACGGCCUUCGGGUUGUAAACCGCUUUCGCCUGUGACGAAGCGUGAGUGACGGUAAUGGGUCAAGAAGCACCGGCUAACUACGUG
rnacentral:rRNA from 1 species